rnacentral:rRNA from 1 species
AGAAGUCGUAACAAGGUUUUCGGUAGGUGAACCUGCGGAAGGAUCAUUG